CGGACGGGUGAGUAACACGUGGAUAACCUACCUAUAAGACUGGGAUAACUUCGGGAAACCGGAGCUAAUACCGGAUAAUAUAUUGAACCGCAUGGUUCAAUAGUGAAAGACGGUUUUGCUGUCACUUAUAGAUGGAUCCGCGCUGCAUUAGCUAGUUGGUAAGGUAACGGCUUACCAAGGCAACGAUGCGUAGCCGACCUGAGAGGGUGAUCGGCCACACUGGAACUGAGACACGGUCCAGACUCCUACGGGAGGCAGCACGAU
rnacentral:rRNA from 1 species